rnacentral:snoRNA from 1 species
UUCCCGGGUACCGGAUACAGCCCCUGGGGGUAUUUUCCUUAUAUGACCAGGCCUCUUUGUGAGUCUGAGAGGAUUAUGAAAGUGUGGGAGGCGAAGUGGGGCUGGGGACCGGGCG